UCUGGUGACGAUGCGCUUAGGGGACACACCCGUUCCCAUUCCGAACACGUCGGUUAAGACCUAAGCGGUCGAUGAUACUUGGUGGGUAGCUGCCUGGGAAAGUAGAUGGUUGCCAGAA
rfam:[Clostridium] neopropionicum strain DSM-3847 CLNEO_contig000002, whole genome shotgun sequence.